UACAGAGGUCCCAGGCGUUGUUCGGAUUCACUGGGCGUAAAGGGUGCGUAGGCGGUCGGGUAAGUCUGGCGUGAAAUCUCCAAGCCUAACUUGGAAACUGCGUUGGAUACUAUCCGGCUCGAGGAAUGGAGGGGAGACUGGAAUACUUGGUGUAGCAGUGAAAUGCGUAGAUAUCAAGUGGAACACCAGUGGCGAAGGCGAGUCUCUGGACAUUUCCUGACGCUGAGGCACGAAAGCCAGGGGAGCAAACGGG
rnacentral:rRNA from 1 species